rnacentral:tRNA from 1 species
UUAUUAUAGUUGAAAACAACGGUGGUUUUUCAAACCACAAGUCUCGGUUUAAAUUCGAGUAAUAAUU